AAGGCUUGAUGUUCAUUCAUAAUGAAGAUUGGCAGCUUUAAGAUAUUUUUUGUUCAAAUAUACAGAAAGGUGACUGCUGUGCCUGGAUUGAUCCACCUCCCAAAUAAUAUCUUGUGACAGAAGGACCUGUAGUGCUCUCUUUGACAUGAGGGACAUAGUGGAAAGAGGCUAUAAGUAUAAGAAAGGAGUGGGGAUAGAAUCGGAUGAGCUACAAUCACUAAUAGUUUAUAUUAACUGUGCACCCUGUGCUAGUGUGCAUUAAAAAGGUGUGUAUCUAGGAAAGUAGCCAUAGAGUGAGUGUGUCCCGCCCAUCACACCCGGCCACACUCCUACCAGAAGCUUUAAAGGUGUGGCACACCAUUUUUGCUGCUCGUAUGGUUGCGCUUUUCCGACCUGUACCAUAAGGGAGAUAAAUAAUUUCUCGAAUAAAAGUUAAAGAAUUGUCGUGAUCGCGCGUGCCAGCGACGCGGCGCAGUUAAUGACGCGAUGACGUCACGCCGAUAGGACUUAGAAACUUGCCCUAUACGCAUCGCUUGUGGGAGACAGAAAAGCCCUUUUCGUGCAACGCCUGAAGUACUGGACUGGUAUUAAGCCUCUAUGUCGACGUUGUUUUGGAGCACGGAGAAUAACGUCAGCGAGACAAAGCGCACUCUGCGAAUGCGGAUUUGAAACGGGAGAGAUGAGCGCCUGAGGAAGCGAAGCAUGAAGCGUAAGCGCCAGAGACGAGCUGAAGCAAGGAAAAGACACUGCGCUGUAAAGACUCAAGAGGACAAGCCCAAGGCGGACAUUUACCUCGAGAUAACAGAUCAGCUGUACUUCGCAAUUCUCCAUCAGAAGAUCAGGAGCACGCCUGAAAGACACUGUUUCUGCAUAGAUGAGGAAUUAUCCUAUGAGAACUUUUAUGCGGACUUUGGUCCCCUCAACCUGGCUAUGUUUUAUCGCUUCUGUUGCAAACUCACCAAGAAGCUCAAGUCUGUGGCAUAUUCCAGAAAGAAGAUUGUGUUUUAUACGUGUGGGGACAAAAAGAAACAAGCAAAUGCUGCUUAUUUAAUAGGAUCGUAUGCGGUGAUGCAUCUCCAGAAAACACCAGAGGAAGCCUAUAGUUUACUAGUCUCCAGAAAUGCCACUUAUCUUCCUUUCCGAGAUGCUUCAUUUGGAACUUGCAUGUACAAUCUAAAUAUCCUUGAUUGUUUGCGUGCAGUGCACAAGGCUCUGCAGUUUGGCUGGCUGGAUUUCUCCAACUUCGAUGUUGAGGAAUAUGAGCAUUAUGAGAGAGCUGAAAAUGGGGAUUUCAACUGGAUUAUUUCGGGGAAGUUUUUGGCCUUUAGUGGUCCACAUCCAAAAAGCAAAAUUGAGAACGGUUAUCCUCUCCAUGCUCCUGAGGCCUACUUCCCAUAUUUCAGGAAGCACAACAUCACCACUGUCAUACGCCUGAACAAAAAAAUGUACGAUGCCAAACGGUUCACAGACAUGGGAUUUGACCACCAUGACCUGUUCUUUGUUGAUGGGAGCACACCUAACGAUGCCAUUGUCACCAAGUUCAUGAACAUUUGUGAAAAUUCGGAUGGUGCCAUAGCUGUUCACUGUAAAGCUGGCCUGGGUCGCACUGGAACAUUAAUAGCCUGUUACCUGAUGAAGCACUUUAGACUGACUGCAGCCGAGGCCAUUGCCUGGAUCAGAAUCUGCCGGCCCGGCUCAGUGAUCGGACCUCAGCAAAACUUUAUUGAGGAUAAGCAGUCCAGUCUAUGGGUGGAGGGAGAUGUGUAUCGACAGAAGCAGUGUGAACAGGAAAAUGGUGUAAACAAAACAGCCCUCACAGGAAUCUUGUCAGGAGUAGAUGACAUCUCCAUCAAUGGGACAAAUAAGAACAGUGCAGCAAGAAAAACUGAUAUGUAUAAUGACGGAGAGGAGGAGCACAACCGCCUCACUCAGGGUGAUAAACUGAGGGCAUUGAAGAGCAAACGGCAGUCCAGAGCAUCCACAGGUUCUUUAUCGGUCAUUCUGCAAUCAAGUGCACAGAGUUAUAAAUCUGUAAAAUCUCAGAGUCCCUCAGAUAAUGAGGAGGUUAGAAAACGAACAAGAACCUCACUAAGCUCCAACAGAGAGAGCAGUCUGCUAUUACGUUCCAGACUUGCACGAUCUUUAGGCAAUUUGCCUGUAAUGGCUAAUGAAAAGAAGUACGAAUUGUGUGACGUUAACUCAUUGGCUACAGAUAGAAUGAGCAAGAAAUCAAACAAAAAGCACAUAAUCCCAAUCAGCAGUGAACCCCUUGGUCCUUCUAUUUCUCAACUGAGUCAUUUGUUCACAUCCUGAGUACCAACUUAAAGAAGUGUGUCCAGAGGAAGGAAAAAGCUGCACUCUUUGCAGUCAUUGCGCUUUACAAGACUAUGUCCUGCAGUCCCUAAAGCUAGAGCACCACUGCUGCGUUAAAUGGAUGGUUUUGGAAAGCAGGAGUGCAAGUAAAACCUGGAUUUUUUGGUUUUUAAAUUCUUCAUUUUUUUUUUUAUGUAUAUUAUUCCUGUAAAGAAUCAAAACGGCCAAAUUUGAUGAAAAACAGACUAUAUUGCCAAGCUUGGGUAAUUUUAUCUACAAAAGACAUUUUAUGUUUGUACAAAAAGUGAAACAAUGGGGGGUUUGUAAUGCUAUGUGAUUUUUAAGAACCAUGAGCCAAGGUCCUUGCAGAAUGUAGCCUUGUCAUUAGUUUAAUUUCUUACUAAUGUUUCUGCAGCUUGGUUACCUCUGUGCCCUGCUAAAAUCUGAAGGCUGUAAUGAGACACUUUCAUUUAACAAUCUUUGUUUCACAGUUGAACGCUGUUUGUGUGUGAAUAUUUUGAUACAUCUGAAAGAACUGUUGUACAUUUAUACCUGUAAAUACUAUAACAACUUUUGGUUUAUUCAUGUCCAAUUAUACUUUCUAUUUCCUGAGUACCUCAUGUUUUAUCUCAUUUAUAUCUUCUGUUCUAUAAAGCUUGGUUUGUAAAGGAUCUGAGUUGUGUCAUUGAUCCAUUUAAUUGUUCAGUCAUCCUCAGUAACCACUUUAUCCUUGGGAACACAGGAUGAGAUGUGUAAAUACAACCUGAAUGAGAGGGCCAGGCAACACACACCAUAGUCGCUGGAGCUUGUCAUCUUGUGCUUUUUGAAGUUGCAAUGCUUCCCAGACGAUCUAAAUUCAUUGUGCUGUUUUGAUGCAUGCAGAAAUUAUCUGCUAACAUAACCAUAUUGAGACAAACUCAACUGCUUAAAAGUUUUCUCUUGUAUAGCACAUUUUUGAUGCACUUCAAAGCUUACAACAUCAUACAGGGUGAAUUCACGCAUGUUAUAUAUAAAAAAAAUUUGUGGACACUUGACCAUCACACCCAUGUGUGGGCCUUCCUUAAACUUUUGCCGCAAAAUUGGAAGGUCACGAUUGUUAGGAUGUCUGUAUAUGCUGUAGCAUUAAAGUUUACAUUCCCUGGGACUAAGGGACCCAAAUA